rnacentral:SRP_RNA from 1 species
ACCAGGCGCUGUGGCGCGUGCCUGUAGUCCCAGCUACUCAGGAGGCUGAGGUGGGAGGAUCGCUUGAGCCCAGGAGUUCUGGGCUGUAGUGCGCUAUGCGGAUCGGGUGUCUGCACUAAGUUCAGCAUCAAUAUGGUGACCUCCCAGGAGCGGAGGGGACCACCAGUUGCCUAAGGAGGGGUGAACCGGCCCAGGUCGGAAACGGAGCAGGUCAAAACUCCCGUGCUGAUCAGUAGUGGGAUUGCACCUGUGAAUAGCCACUGCGCUCCAGCCUGGGCAACACAGCGAGACCCCAUCUCU